UAAACCGGGAGGGGGCACCCGCUGGGGGUACAGCGGGCUUUAUCGGCGGGGCGAGCUCUCAUCGGGGCCCUUCCCAGCGCCGGUGAGGUCGGACAGUGUCGAGGCGUCGGGGACGGGGGGGAGCUCUCCCGUUACCGGCAGGCCCCCCCGGUCUGCGGGGCCGGUGGCUCGGCGGCGGGUGCUGAUUCACGGGCCGGCGGGGGUGGAGCAGGGCCGGGACCCGCUCCCUGGAAUCCGGACCAGAUGUACCCGGCACGCCAGGAAUGCUCGGCAUUCCCGCCAGGCCCCGCCGCCGCCGCUGCGCCCCGGCCGCCGCCACCGGCCCCGCACCGUGAGCCGCCCCGCAGCCCCCCGCCACGGCGCCCACCGGGACUCCGGCCUUCGCCCGCCAACGCCCGGGCCCCGCCGGGAUCCCCAGUGCCUUUGGGGUGACGCUGCGGGAGGAUGAUGGGGGGCAGCUGCCGCGGUGGCCAGCCGGCGGGGUUCCCGGGGCCGUCUGUCCCCGCACCGGGGCCGUCUGUCCCCCCCGCAGCGGGGCCGGACACCCGGGGCUUUCGCAGAACUCGGUCCGCACGGCUGAAGCGCUGGGAGGUGGAAAAGGGGUUUUUUCCCUGGGUGGAAGGGGAAGCAGCGGGGUCCCGCAGCAGGCCCCCGGGGCUGGCGUCCUCAUUCUGUGACAAAAUGACAGGGAAAAAGGCUGCACUCUCCGAAAUUCCCCUGGCGCUGCCGUGGCGGCGGCCGCCUGACAAAGUGUCUUCCCCGGCAGGCGGUGGCUGGCCCCCGGCCAGGUGGGACCCUGCCAGCGCGGAUGCCCGAGGUGCUGCCCCGCCGCCCCGUCCUGGCUAACCGGCACCAGUUCUUCAGUGGCAAGCUUUAUGUCCUUCUCUAGUAGCUAAAGCUGCCAGUUGAAGAACUGUUGAACGUAGCCACUCUCUUCUCGUCACCGGCACCUUGGAUGUCAGCCGGACCCGUGCCCCGAGCGACCGGGAUGAGCCAGUCUGCAGCCUCCCGUGGAUUUGAGGGCUGAGGGUGAGCCCGACCGGGAUGAAGAAGUCUCCUUGCAGCCUCCAGACAGAGCCUUGCCUGGGGGGUCGCCAGGCAGCAGGGCUGUCAAGUGGGGCCCUCCUCGCUGGUGGGGUGAUGCUGAGAUGACUAGAGAAGCCGAAAGAGGCAUUAAACUUUCUGUUUGGCUCAACA